rnacentral:rRNA from 1 species
AAAAGAACUUUGAAGAGAGAGUUCAAAAGGGCGUGAAACCGCUUAGAAGAAAACGGACGGAGCCGUCAGGAGCCUUUGGGAAUCAGUCGCACGAUUCGCGAAAGUGUCUCGGUCUCGGAACGCAAGUCCGGCCGGGGUUCUAUUAGUAGCGAUCGAACGACGCAUUUCUCGAAGGUAAGCACUGCGACCGAUACGAAAGGCUGACGAAGCGAGGGGAUUGAGGUCGAGUCCUUUCGGGGAUUCGUUACCAGUCCUCUCGCCGGAGUCGUCAGACCGCAGUAUGUAUCGAGCGCCUAGAAUAGUACGCCGGCGUAAAACGCUCGCUGGAGUAAUGGAUAGUCGAUCAAUCAGUCGGUACCUGCUCGCAGGGACUGGCGAAUUUGGUCGACUCAGAAGUUACCGGCGACGCGAUGGCGUAUUGGCGUCGGCAGUGUCAGUGUCGGCCACCCGUCCGACCCGUCUUGAAACACGGACCAAGGAGUCUAACAUAUGCGCGAGCUAAUGGGUGGAAAACCCAGAGGCGCAAUAAAAGUAAACGCCGACUCGGUCGGCCGAGAUACGAUCCUAGAGUAACGAUCUAGGCGCAGUAUCGUCCCAUCCCGACCGCACGUCGGUAGGGUGGAGAAAGAGUGCAUACGUUGGGACCCGAAAGAUGGUGAACUAUGCCUGAGCAGAGCGAAGCCAGAGGAAACUCUGGUGGAGGUUCGUAGCGGUUCUGACGUGCAAAUCGAUCGUCAGAC